rnacentral:rRNA from 1 species
UACGGAGGGGGCUAGCGUUGUUCGGAAUUACUGGGCGUAAAGCGUGCGCAGGCGGCUAUGCAAGACAGAUGUGAAAUCCCCGGGCUCAACCUGGGAACUGCAUUUGUGACUGCAUGGCUGGAGUACGGCAGAGGGGGAUGGAAUUCCGCGUGUAGCAGUGAAAUGCGUAGAUAUGCGGAGGAACACCGAUGGCGAAGGCAAUCCCCUGGGCCUGUACUGACGCUCAUGCACGAAAGCGUGGGGAGCAAACAGG